GGAGAGGUGCCAGAGCGGACGAUUGGGGCAGACUCGAAAUCUGCUGUUCCUCCUUGCGGGGAACCGUGGGUUCAAAUCCCACCCUCUCCG
rnacentral:tRNA from 1 species